rnacentral:rRNA from 1 species
UACGGGGGGGCAAGCGUUGUUCGGAAUUACUGGGCGUAAAGGGCGCGUAGGCGGUUUGCUAAGUUGAAUGUGAAAACUCUGGGCUUAACCCAGAGCCUGCAUUCAAUACUGGCAGGCUAGAGUUCUGGAGGGGAUAGCGGAAUUCCUGGUGUAGCGGUGAAAUGCGUAGAUAUCAGGAGGAACACCGGUGGCGAAGGCGGGUCUCUGGGCAGUAACUGACGCUGAGGAGCGAAAGCGUGGGGAGCGAACAGG